rnacentral:rRNA from 1 species
GUGAAGGAAAGGUGAAAAGGACCCCGGGAGGGGAGUGAAAGAGAACCUGAAACCCUGUGUUUACAAGCUGUGGAAGUGCCUUAUGUGCACAACCGCGUACUUUUUGUAGAACGGUCCGGCGAGUUACGUUUACUGGCAAGGUUAAGUACUAUAGGUACGGAGCCGAAGGGAAACCAAGUCUUAAGAGGGCGUGAAGUCAGUAAGAGUAGACCCGAAACCGGGUGAUCUACCCAUGUCCAGGCUGAAGCUGCCGUAAGAGGUAGUGGAGGGCCGAACGCACAUCCGUUGAAAAGGGUGGCGAUGAGGUGUGGGUAGGGGAGAAAUUCCAAUCGAACCCGGAGAUAGCUGGUUCUCCUCGAAAUAGCUUUAGGGCUAGCCUCGAUGGAGUCUUACGGAGGUAGAGCACUGAAUUUCUAAGGGGGCGUCAAAGCUUACCAAGGGAUAUCAAACUCCGAAUGCCGUAAAGAUGCUCAUCGGGAGUCAGACUGCACGAGAUAAGUUGGGCAGUCAAAAGGGAAAGAGCCCAGACCUGCUGCUAAGGUCCCAAAGUACGUGUUAAGUGGAAAAGGAUGUGGGAUUUCGAAGACAACUAGGAUGUUGGCUCAGAAGCAGCCACACAUUCAAAGAGUGCGUAAUAGCUCACUAGUCGAGAGGUCCUGCGCCGAAAAUGUCCGGGGCUGAAACACGACACCGAAGCACAGGAUACCGCAAGGUAUGGUAGAGGAGCAUUGCUGGCGCGACGAAGCAGUACCGGAAGGAGCUGUGGAGUGCCAGGAAGAGAGAAUGCCGGAAUGAGUAGCGAGAGAGAGGUGGGAAUCCUCUCGGCCGAAUAUCCAAGGUUUCCAGGGUAAAGCUGAUCUGCCCUGGGUAAGUCGGGGCCUAAGGAGAGGCAGAAAUGCGUAUCCGAUGGACAGCAGGUUGAGAUUCCUGCACUAUCUUAAAACAGAACUGUGGGGACAUUUGUGGAGAGCACAGGCGCGGAACGGAAAGCCGCGUGCAAGCGAAGGAGGAGUCACAUAGGAAAAACCGUGUGGCAAUCCAAAGGCGUGAUGCGGACCGAACUAAAGUAGGGAAGUGUGUGAGCCAUGAAUCAAGAAAAGCCGCUAUUGUUUUUAAGAUACCCGUACCGUAAACCGACACAGGUGGAUGAGGAGAGAAUCCUAAGGCCGGCGGAAGAAGCAUUGUUAAGGAACUCGGCAAAAUGACCCCGUAACUUCGGGAGAAGGGGUGCCAACGAGAGUUGGCCGCAGAGAAUAGGCUCAAGCAACUGUUUAGCAAAAACACAGGUCUAUGCAAAACCGUAAGGUGAGGUAUAUGGGCUGACGCCUGCCCGGUGCUGGAAGGUUAAGAGGAGAGGUUAGCGCAAGCGAAGCUUUGAA